rnacentral:rRNA from 1 species
GGAAUAUUGGACAAUGGGCGAAAGCCUGAUCCAGCAAUGCCGCGUGAGUGAUGAAGGCCUUAGGGUUGUAAAGCUCUUUUACCCGGGAUGAUAAUGACAGUACCGGGAGAAUAAGCUCCGGCUAACUCCGUGCCAGCAGCCGCGGUAAUACGGAGGGAGCUAGCGUUAUUCGGAAUUACUGGGCGUAAAGCGCACGUAGGCGGCUUUGUAAGUAAGAGGUGAAAGCCCAGAGCUCAACUCUGGAAUUGCCUUUUAGACUGCAUCGCUUGAAUCAUGGAGAGGUCAGUGGAAUUCCGAGUGUAGAGGUGAAAUUCGUAGAUAUUCGGAAGAACACCAGUGGCGAAGGCGGCUGACUGGACAUGUAUUGACGCUGAGGUGCGAAAGCGUGGGGAGCAAACAGGAUUAGAUACCCGAG